rnacentral:rRNA from 1 species
GUAGGUGGCAAGCGUUGUCCGGGAAUUAUUGGGGCGUAAAGCGCGCGCAGGCGGUUCUUUAAGUCUGAUGUGAAAGCCCACGGGCUCAACCGUGGAGGGUCAUUGGAAACUGGAGAACUUGAGUACAGAAGAGGAAAGCGGAAUUCCACGUGUAGCGAUGAAAUGCGUAGAGAUGUGGAGGAACACCAGUGGCGAAGGCGGCUUUCUGGUCUGUAACUGACGCUGAGGCGCGAAAGCGUGGGGAGCAAACAGGAUUAGAUACCCUGGUAGUCCACGCCGUAAACGAUGAGUGCUAAGUGUUAGGGGGUUUCCGCCCCUUAGUGCUGCAGCUAACGCAUUAAGCACUCCGCCUGGGGAGUACGGCCGCAAGGCUG